UUGACUUCAUUUUGAUCUGUUAAUUUGAUCUUUCUAAGUAUCAACACACACAUGCACGCACACAGGUGAGAUCACUUAGUGUGCAGUGCUCUUACACUAAAGGUUUGGGGCAAUAUGGCUGAAAUGCUAUGGAGAGGUGACUAGCAAUUUCAUUUCAAUUUUUCUUUUACAAUGAAUAAAGUGCAUCCUUACACACUUUUGCUUUUGUUCUUGCAUCAAAUACUAUAUUCAGUCUUGUUGUGAAUACCCUAUAUUAGUAUUAACACCACACUGUGAACAGAGGCGCCAGGAUAAAAUGUACACAGAAGAAUAAAACUCAGAUGCAGACAAGCCCCUGUCAUUGGCACAGGCGUUACAUAUUUAUGAGCAGCCCAUGUUUGGCACUGACGAAACCGAGAGGAAAUCUUUCUCCACACA